rnacentral:rRNA from 1 species
UACGGAGGGGGCUAGCGUUGUUCGGAAUUACUGGGCGUAAAGCGCACGUAGGCGGCUUUGCAAGUCAGAGGUGAAAGCCCGGGGCUCAACCCCGGAAUUGCCUUUGAGACUGCAUCGCUAGAAUUGUGGAGAGGUAAGUGGAAUUCCGAGUGUAGAGGUGAAAUUCGUAGAUAUUCGGAAGAACACCAGUGGCGAAGGCGGCUCUCUGGACCGUAACUGACGCUGAGGCGCGAAAGCGUGGGGAGCAAACAGG